rfam:Picea glauca, whole genome shotgun sequence.
UUAUGUACAUGCCUACAACAUAUCUUUAAUGGAGAAGAUCCAAUUAGAACUCUGCAGUUAAGUGCUCUUAGGCUAGAGUAGUAUUGGGAUGGGUGGUCGCCUGGGAAGUCCUAGUGUUUUACAUGCC